GCCUUCGUGGUGUAUUGGUCAGCACACUCAGCGCGUAUUUUACAGGUCCGUGGUUCGAGUCCCGGCGAGGGCA
rnacentral:tRNA from 1 species